UACGUAGGGGGCAAGCGUUAUCCGGAUUUACUGGGUGUAAAGGGAGCGUAGACGGCUUUGCAAGCCAGAUGUGAAAGCCCGGGGCUCAACCUCGGGACUGCAUUUGGAACUGUAUGGCUGGAGUGUCGGAGAGGCAGGCGGAAUUCCUAGUGUAGCGGUGAAAUGCGUAGAUAUUAGGAGGAACACCAGUGGCGAAGGCGGCCUGCCGGACGAUGACUGACGUUGAGGCUCGAAAGCGUGGGGAGCAAACAGG
rnacentral:rRNA from 1 species